rnacentral:rRNA from 1 species
AGUAACGCGUGGGUAACCUGCCUCAUACAGGGGGAUAACAGUUAGAAAUGACUGCUAAUACCGCAUAAGCGCACAGUGCUGCAUGGCACAGUGUGAAAAACUCCGGUGGUAUGAGAUGGACCCGCGUCUGAUUAGCUAGUUGGUGGGGUAACGGCCUACCAAGGCGACGAUCAGUAGCCGGCCUGAGAGGGUGAACGGCCACAUUGGAACUGAGACACGGCCCAA